rnacentral:misc_RNA from 1 species
ACUUCUGAUGGAUGCAUAAACCUUAGCAGAAAACAGAACCAUAUUGGCAAAAUUUGAUAUUCUGAUAGCAAAGGUCUCACUUCUAGCCAAAUUAUCCUGCUCUUCCUUUGACAUUCCAGGAAUAAAGCCACGCUCCGCUAAGGCAUCCAUUUCAUUAAAGUCCUCGAGCAUUUCCACCUGCUGCUGAUAGUAAUCAGCAACAUCAUCUUCUGGACCUAAAACACCAAGGCAAUCAUGGCGGCCAUGAGGCGGCUUUUUCUCUUUGUGCUCCGCAGAUAGGUGAUAUCCCUCGAAGUUUAACCGCCAUGACUGAUCACCAUUGCUGUUGAGGGGCAACAGUGAAAGCUCCUCCUCGUGCUGGUGGUUUACCGGUUCCACCAUUCUCUGGUCACUCACUGGCCGCCACCAGAUUCAAGAAGCUCUCAAGUGCAAGUGUUUUUAAUAAUAUAAUGUGUUCCUGGCGCAAACAGGGAUAGAGAAUGGAAAUUUAACGUCAAGAAAAGGGUAUUUUGGGGGUAGAAA